rnacentral:piRNA from 1 species
UGCAAGUUCUACUGGUUCUUUGAGUC